CGUCGUCGACGUCUCAGAGAGUUGAUUAUGGCUCAGAACGAACGCUGGCGGCGCGUUUAAGCAUGCAAGUCGAGCGGCAAGGGCCUUCGGGCCCUAGAGCGGCGGACGGGUGAGUAACACGUGGACAAUCUGCCCCCCGGCCCGGGAUAGCCCAGGGAAACCUGGAUUAAUACCGGAUGAGACGGGACCCGCGAUGGCGGGACCCGGGAAAGGCGCUGCGGCGCCGCCGGGGGAUGAGUCUGCGUCCCAUUAGCUAGACGGCGGGGUAACGGCCCACCGUGGCGACGAUGGGUAGCCGGCCUGAGAGGGUGGACGGCCACAUUGGAACUGAGACACGGUCCAGACUCCUACGGGAGGCAGCAGCUAAGAAUCUUCCGCAAUGGGCGAAAGCCUGACGGAGCGACGCCGCGUGAACGAAGAAGGCCGUGAGGUUGUAAAGUUCUUUUCGGGAGGGGGAACAACCGUGGCAGGGAAUGGCCGCGGGAUGACGUGAAUCCCGGAAUAAGCCCCGGCUAACUACGUGCCAGCAGCUGC
rnacentral:rRNA from 1 species